GAUUUACAGAAAAGUUGCCAAGAUAGUACAGAGAGUUCCCAUGUGCCUCGCAUCUAAUUUUUCCCAUUUAACGGUGCUUAGAUGGGUCAAAACUAAAAAAAGUGAUGACAGGGCUGGGCAUGGUGGCUUACACCUGUAAUCCCGGCAGUUUGGGAGGCUGAGGUGGGAGGAUCUCCUGACCACAGAAAAAACCAAACAUGACAGCAGUGCAUUACUAUUAACUACACUCCAGGCUUGACUUGGAUUUUGCCAGUUUUUCCAUUGCCGUCCCCUUUCAGCCCCAGGAUCUAAGCCAGGGUCCCACCUUGCAUUAAGAAGCCUCUCAGCUUGAGGAGUGCUAGACAAGUCUCCUGUAGAACAUCCCCAGCCUAAGGUCAUCUGGUGUAUUUCACAUUAUUAAAGAAGGGUUACCAGUUUUAGGAGAGAAUCCCACAGAGGUGAGCCUCCCUCUCACACCACAUGAGGGGCACCUGAGACGCACACGUGGCUGGUCAGGGGAACCUUCACUACAGGGUCGGGGCAGGGUCUGCCAGGGUCUCCCUGGGAAGCUACUAUUGUUUAUUAUUUGGAGGCAAGUCUCUAAGGCUACCCCACCCUCCCCAGGUGGGAGUAAUUAAACUAUGCUGCUCUAUCAUAUUGUUAUUAUCUAGUUAUUUUAUACAUUCUUCUCUUAUUCUGUUUGUGGUUUAGUGGAAUUCUGUUGUACUGCUGUCUGAUAUCUUUCUCUUCCUCCUUUGUGUGAUUGUUUUACAGGGCCUGCAAGUUUCAGACUUUUGUGUGUAUUAUUACAAAUAUCAACUUAUUUUUAUGUUAAGAUUCCUUUGAGCAUUUCUCACAGGACUGAUCUAGUUGUGAUAAAUUCCCCCAGCCUUUGCUUGUCGGGGAAAGGCUCUAUUUCUCCUUCAUCUAUGAAGUGUAGUCUUAGCUGGAUAUAGUAUUCUUGGCUAGCAGCAGUAUCUACAUCUAUUUCCUGGAAUUUUGUAAGAAAGUUUCAUCUCUUGAAUUGUUUAUUUAGGUCAGUACAGACUCAGGAAUAUUCAUUUGACUCCAGGGGCUGUAAUCCAAGGUUGCAUGGUUUGUCUGAGGCUCAGGCUUGGAAGCCCAUGUUUCUGUAAGAUGGUCCGGCCUCUUGGGUUGUGACCACCUCCUUCCCCUCUGGUGCUACAAGCAGCUCCAGGCUCAUCUUAUAUUUUUCCUGCUCUAACUCCAGAAGCAGCCAUUCCUCCAAGGAGCCCUGCUUCAUCUGGAUACUUUUACCUUUAGAAAAUGCUACAGAGGUUUUUUGGCAGUGGAGUCAACUGGCUUCAGACUUUUCUGACCACUCACCACUGGUCCCAGGACACACAGUCACAUCUAAGAUGCAAGCCAUGCACAAGGUGGCUUGCCCAUACUACUCAGGACGCCCUCUGCUGCCUUCUGCUCCAUCUCCUCCAUCUGUUGCCACUGCCAUUGUGGGUAAUGCUGGUCUCAUGCCAUGAAGUGACGUCUGAAGCCACUGGGGGCAGUCCACUCUCCCCACAUCAGACAAGCCCUGACCCAGCUGUAAUCAGAGGCUCUCGGUGAUUGCAACUAAAUAUGUUGAAGUUUUUGUGCAGCAACAA